rnacentral:rRNA from 1 species
CCUACGGGUGGCAGCAGUGAGGAAUAUUGGUCAAUGGACGAGAGUCUGAACCAGCCAAGUAGCGUGAAGGAUGACUGCCCUGUGGAUUGUAAACUUCUUUUAUCUGGGAAUAAAACAUGGUAUGCAUACCCUCUUGUGUGUACCAUAUGAAUAAGGAUCGGCUAACUCCGUGCCAGCAGCCGCGGUAAUACGGAGGAUCCGAGCGUUAUCCGGAUUUAUUGGGUUUAAAGGGAGCGUAGGUGGAGUGUUAAGUCAGUUGUGAAAGGUUGCGGCUCAACCGUAAAAUGGCAGUUGAAACUGGCAGUCUUGAGUACAGUAGAGGUGGGCGGAAUUCGUGGUGUAGCGGUGAAAUGCUUAGAUAUCACGAAGAACUCCGAUGGCGAAGGCAGCUCACCGGACUGCAACUGACACUGAUGCUCGAAAGUGUGGGUAUCAAACAGGAUUAGAUACCCCGGUAGUC